rnacentral:rRNA from 1 species
UACGGGGGGGGCAAGGGUUGUUCGGAAUUACUGGGCGUAAAGGGCUCGUAGGCGGCCAACUAAGUCAGACGUGAAAUCCCUCGGCUUAACCGGGGAACUGCGUCUGAUACUGGAUGGCUUGAGAUUGGGAGAGGGAUGCGGAAUUCCAGGUGUAGCGGUGAAAUGCGUAGAUAUCAAGAGGAACACCUGAGGUGAAGACGGGUUGCUGGGCCAACACUGACGCUGAGGCGCGAAAGCCAGGGGAGCAAACGGG